rnacentral:rRNA from 1 species
GAUGAACGCUGGCGGCGUGCCUAAUACAUGCAAGUCGAGCGAACAGAUUAGGAGCUUGCUCCUCUGACGUUAGCGGCGGACGGGUGAGUAACACGUGGAUAACCUACCUAUAAGACUGGGAUAACUUCGGGAAACCGGAGCUAAUACCGGAUAAUAUAUUGAACCGCAUGGUUCAAUAUUGAAAGACGGUUUUGCUGUCACUUAUAGAUGGAUCCGCGCCGCAUUAGCUAGUUGGUAAGGUAACGGCCUACCAAGGCAACGAUGCGUAGCCGACCUGAGAGGGGGAUCGGCCACACGGGAACUGAGACACGGUCCAGACUCCUACGGGAGGCAGCAGUAGGGAAUCUUCCGCAAUGGGCGAAAGCUUGACGGAGCAACGCCGCGUGAGUGAUGAAGGUCUUCGGAUCGUAAAACUCUGUUAUUAGGGAAGAACAAAUGUGUAAGUAAAUAUGCACGUCUUGACGGUACCUAAUCAGAAAGCCACGGCUAACUACGUG